rnacentral:rRNA from 1 species
UGGCGGCGUGCUUACACAUGCAAGUCGAACGAGAAAGUACCUUCGGGUACGAGUAAAGUGGCGCACGGGUGAGUAACGCGUAGAUAACCUGUCCAGGUGCUCGGGAUAGCCCUUCGAAAGGGGGAUUAAUACCGGAUACGUUGGUCUGCCAUAAGGCAGAUUAAGAAAGGUGGCCUCUAUUUAUAAGCUAUCGCAUUUGGAGGGGUCUGCGUACCAUUAGUUUGUUGGUGGGGUAAUGGCCUACCAAGACUUCGAUGGUUAGCGGGUCUGAGAGGAUGAUCCGUCACACUGGCACUGAAACACGGGCCAGACUCCUACGGGAGGCAGCAGUGAGGAAUAUUGCGCAAUGGGGGCAACCCUGACGCAGCGACGCCGCGUGGGUGAGGAAGGCUUUCGGGUCGUAAAGCCCUGUCAGAAGGGAAGAAAUGGUUAUAGGUUAAUAACUUAUAGCUUUGACGGUACCACCAAAGGAAGCACCGGCUAACUCCGUGCCAGCAGCCGCGGUAAUACG